rnacentral:rRNA from 1 species
GUGAACGCUGGCGGUAGGCCUAACACAUGCAAGUCGAACGGCAGCACAGUAAGAGCUUGCUCUUACGGGUGGCGAGUGGCGGACGGGUGAGGAAUACAUCGGAAUCUACUUUUUCGUGGGGGAUAACGUAGGGAAACUUACGCUAAUACCGCAUACGACCUACGGGUGAAAGCAGGGGAUCUUCGGACCUUGCGCGAUUGAAUGAGCCGAUGUCGGAUUAGCUAGUUGGCGGGGUAAAGGCCCACCAAGGCGACGAUCCGUAGCUGGUCUGAGAGGAUGAUCAGCCACACUGGAACUGAGACACGGUCCGGACUCCUACGGGAGGCAGCAGUGGGGAAUAUUGGACAAAGGGCGCAAGCCUGAUCCAGCCAUACCGCGUGGGUGAAGAAGGCCUUCGGGUUGUAAAGCCCUUUUGUUGGGAAAGAAAAGCAGCAGGUUAAUACCCCGCUGUUCUGACGGUACCCAAAGAAUAAGCACCGGCUAACUUCGUG